rnacentral:rRNA from 1 species
CCUACGGGUGUGCAGCAGUGAGGAAUAUUGGUCAAUGGACGAGAGUCUGAACCAGCCAAGUAGCGUGAAGAAUGACUGCUCUAUGGGUUGUAAACUUCUUUUAUAUGGGAAUAAAAUGUUCCACGUGUGGGAUUUUGUAUGUACCAUAUGAAUAAGGAUCGGCUAACUACGUGCCAGCAGCCGAGGGAAUACGGAGGAUCCGAGCGGUAUGUGGAUUUAUUGGGUUUAAAGGUAGCGUAGGUGGAGUGUUAAGUCAGUGGUGAAAGUCUGCGGCUCAAACGUAAAAUUGCAGUUGAUAGUGGCAGUCUUGAGUACAUUAGAGGUGGGCGGAAUUCGUGGUGUAGCGGUGAAAUGCUUAGAUAUCUCGAAGAACUCCGAUUGCGAAGGCAGCUCACUGGACUGCAACUGACACUGAGGCUCGAAAGUGUGGGUAUCAAACAGGAUUAGAUACCCGAGUAGUC